UAACAAUUAAAUGUGAGAUCUGGACUGCC
rnacentral:piRNA from 1 species